AGUGAUACAUUGAGCUAACCAAUACUAAUUGCCCGAGAGGCUUAACCAUACAACGCUCAAG
rnacentral:rRNA from 1 species